UUUACCUUAGCACAUAUAUAUUUUUAUCGCUAACCAUUUUUUAUAUUACCUUUAGGACUAGCUUCCUAUAUUGGACUCUCAGCCCAGAUGAAAAAAAGAGUCGCCCAAUGCUACAUUUUUUCUGGAAUAAGCUUCAUAAAAAAGGAGUUUUAAUGCAGAAAAGGAAGGUAGGAAGGUAGUUUUCCCAUACGUAUUCGAGGAUUCUGGUAACUCUACAUCAAAUCCUAGUCUUUGAGGAUUCUGGCUCCAGCAUCAGAAGCUCAGGACUAGAUAUCUUUUUAUUAUAAAUAACUUGUCCACUGCAAAUGUUGAGGCUAAAGCUAAAGAGUUUAUUGAAAAUUUGAAUUUUAUACUAUCCCUGGUUAGCGUUGUAUAUAGUUAUGGAGAGGGAGAGAUUUAGCUUGGCACUACAUUCCUUACCUUAAACAGUUCUCUGGAUGCAAUUUACCUUUGGAGUUACUCUUUCUGUUUGGCAUUUUGAAAUAUUUUGAAAUAAAAUUGAAACAUUUGAACAGAGAUAAUGUGCAAGCCGUUUAUGUAAACUGCCAGGUUUGAUUUUUCUACUUACUUUAUUCAUUUUGGAAAGCCGGUUUUUAUUCUUGGUAUUUGUACUAUGUCUAGGUUCUGUUUUAAACAGAACUUGUAAUAUCUAGUGUGGAAGAACUAUCACUGCUGAAAAUUUAGGAAGCUGGCUUGGGAAGAUUACUAUUGGGAAGUUCUAAGGGAACGAGUGGUAGAUUCAAAAGCUUUGAUUGUAGAGGUUUCUUUUCGUCUGUUUUGUUUUUGAGUUUACUUCAUAAACUUGGAGUUGGGUUGUCUGAAAUCCUCAUGUUGCAAUAAAUAUUAUUAUCUCAUCUUGUUGAUUCAAAUUUUUUUUCUGACACAUGGAAGUAUAUUUUUUGUUGAAUGCUUUUAAGGGACUCAGGAUGCCUGUUAAUUCUUUUACCUCAAAGGUACGAUCCAUGGUUUAUUUUUUAUGUAGUUGCGAGUCCAAGUUUAUUUCAACUCAAAUGUGUUUGUUUUAGAUUUUCAAAGCCUGUUCAAACAGCAUUGCAUACGGGCCUCCUCACCCUUGGGCAGUGGUAAUCUCAAAUUUAAGAUUGAAGUAAUUCUGUAUAAACAUAUCUGGUUAAUCUUUGUUUUGGAUUCCAAAUCAUAAAUUUUGGACAAUUUUCUUUGUUGAUAUCUCUUUGGUUUCAGGUUCUGUUUAAGCAUUUAAGUGUUGACCUCAACGAUGUCACACCCUCUUCUCUUCUAAAGGAUGUAGUUUGACAAUUUGAAGAUCAGUCAUUAAGCAUCAACUUGUUACUCACCUUACGCUGGGCAUUGCUUUAAGAGCUAUUUCAGUUGCUCAUACUGAACCUGACGUUGGCCAUAGUUCCAAUACUAAUCACCGACCCGGUCUUAUUCAAUCUUCUGCUCCACAAAUUGAGAUAGCAGGCCCACCAUUUUCUCUGAUCGGACCCGGCAGCAUAUUGUCUGGAUUAGCAAUUCCCUCUUUGAUCCCACUACAAAAGAGACCACCAAGUUCUCUAGAUGAGAGUGGACUCCUAAUUUCAGAAGCCAACACAAUACACCUACCCUU